rnacentral:rRNA from 1 species
CACGGACGCUGGCGGCAGGCUUAACACAUGCAAGUCGAGCGCCCCGCAAGGGGAGCGGCAGACGGGUGAGUAACGCGUGGGAAUCUACCCAUCUCUACGGAAUAACGCAUGGAAACGCGUGCUAAUACCGUAUACGUCCUUCGGGAGAAAGAUUUAUCGGAGAUGGAUGAGCCCGCGUUGGAUUAGCUAGUUGGUGGGGUAAAGGCCUACCAAGGCGACGAGCCAUAGCUGGUCUGAGAGGAUGCUCAGCCACACUGGGACUGAGACACGGCCCAGACGCCUACGGGAGGCAGCAGUGGGGAAUAUUGGACAAUGGGCGCAAGCCUGAUCCAGCCAUGCCGCGUGAGUGAUGAAGGCCCUAGGGUUGUAAAGCUCAUUCACCGGUGAAGAUAAUGACGGUAACCGGAGAAGAAGCCCCGGCUAACUUCGUGCCAGCCGCCGCUGUAACAC